rnacentral:rRNA from 1 species
CCCUAUGGGGUGCAUUCCAUCCCCAAUGCGCGAGCCGCGAAGAGGAAAGACGCAUGGCAGGAGGUGACAGCCUAUGACGGAAGCACACGACCAUCGACGGUGGUCCCGUCACCGUCUUGCGUAUGUAUUGACGGUGUCUCUCUGCAUCCUCUACGCCUCGUUCUAUGUGUUUCGCAUGGCGUCUGCUCUGAGCGACGAGAAUCUGUAUCGAGACAGUGCCCGUGGCGUCGUGAUCAUUUCCAUCACACCCGGAGGGGCAUCGGAUAAAGCGGGACUUCACGGGGGGGAUGUGAUCACCGCCAUCAACGGAGUGCCGGUACGUUCGGCGAUGGAAGCCAACCGGUAUCUCAUCGAGGCCUCCCGGGAUCGCCCUCUGUACUACACCGUGUUGCGCAACGGAAAGACCUCGGUCUUCACCGUACAUCUCGCCAGUUUCGGUCUCCCUUUGGUUGUUCUGUUCCUCCUCGUCAGCGGGGGGGC